rnacentral:rRNA from 1 species
UACAGAGGUCUCGAGCGUUAGGCGGAAUCACUGGGCUUAAAGCGUGUGUAGGCGGAUCGGUAAGUACCUUGUGAAAUCCCACAGCUUAACUGUGGAACUGCUUGGUAUACUGCCAGUCUUGAGCCAGCUAGGGGCUACCGGAACAAAUGGUGGAGCGGUGAAAUGCGUAGAUAUCAUUUGGAACGGCCAAUGGUGAAAACAGGUAGCUGGGGCUGUGCUGACGCUGAGACACGAAAGCCAGGGAGCAAACGGG